GAGAAUAAAUAUAUUAUAUAUGCAAAAUAUACACCUAUUUGAGUGUAAUAUAAAAUUGUUUUCAUGGUUAUUAUAUUAUAAUAUAAAUAUAUCUUGCGGAUAUUCAGUUAUUCUACCACCGGCAGCUUUGAUAAGUUCCUUUAAAACCUGAGCAGAAGGUGUAGUACCAUUUUCAACGUGUAAGAAACCAGAAGUAGCAAACAAAUCUGGUACAUAAGCCAUUCCAAAUAAUUCUCGAUCUUUGCGAUUUUCCUAUAAUAAAAUAAAAAUAUAAUAA
rnacentral:lncRNA from 1 species